GCCAGUGUAGUGUAGUGGUUUGAGCGCUGGACUAUGUCUCUGGAGACCAGGGUUUGAAUUCCUGCGUAGGCC